UACGUAGGGUGCAAGCGUUAAUCGGAAUUACUGGGCGUAAAGCGUGCGCAGGCGGUUUUGUAAGCCAGAUGUGAAAUCCCCGGGCUUAACCUGGGAAUGGCAUUUGGGACUGCAAGGCUGGAGUGUGGCAGAGGAGACUGGAAUUCCUGGUGUAGCAGUGAAAUGCGUAGAUAUCAGGAGGAAUACCGAUGGCGAAGGCAGGUCUCUGGGCUAUAACUGACGCUCAUGCACGAAAGCGUGGGGAGCAAACAGG
rnacentral:rRNA from 1 species